AACGCACAUUGCGCCCUCUGGUAUUCCGGGGGGCAUGCCUGUUCGAGCGUCAGUAAAACCUCUCAAGCAUAGCUUGGCAUUAGACGAAAUGGGGCCCCUCUGGGGGCUUUUCCGCCCGGCUGCCGGGCGCGUCUUUAUUAGAUAGGCGGCGUCGACCGGACCCCGAGCGCAUUAGAAACAUUCUCGCUCCAUGGGUUGUCAGGCCGGCGUUUUGCCCCGGAGAACACCAUUAAAUUUAACGAUUGACCUCGGAUCAGGUAGGAAUACCCGCUGAACUUAA
rnacentral:misc_RNA from 1 species